GGCGCGCUGGCAGAAAGCGUGGAGGGGGUUAGGUGGGACUGAAAAAAAGUGGCCUGCCUUGUUUUUAUCGUCAUUGUCAUCAUCUCUUUGACACUUUCUAUUUCGGUGCCUGUCUGCUCCUACACAGACACUUAAACAGUAAUGACAGAAACAAAGACAUGGAUUCCAGCGGAGAAACCUGACGGGGAGCGGUUUUCAGCCGGCCACUCCCAACCUUCCAUCCUCCUUUCCGGCGCCCAGCUCUCAACUAUCUACACCUUAUGGUGGGAAGAACUCACAAUUUAUCAAGCUGGAUAAUGAAGCUACACGGUGACAGCCUGACCCAGGGAGCUGGAAGGUCGCCCUCUCCCGGUUUGCUCCCUGCCCCCUCUCAUUGCUGAUUUAAAGAUGCUCGUGUUGGGACUUCCCUGGUGGCGCAGUGGUUAAGAAUCCACCUGCCAAUGCAGGGGACAUGGCUUCGAGCCCUGAUCUGGGAAGAUCCCUCAUGCCGCGGAGCAACUAAGUCUGUGUGCCACAACUACUGAGCCUACGUGCCACAACUACUGAAGCCCACGCACCUAGAGCCGGUGCUCUGCAACAAGAGAAGUCACCGCAAUGAGAAGCCACGCACCACAACGAAGAGUAGCCCCCACUCGCCACAACUAGAGAAAGCCCGCGUGCAGCAACGAAGACCCAAUGCAGCCAAAAUUAAAAAUAAAAAUAAAA